CGCUAGCGGCAGGCUUCAUACAUGCAAGUCGAGGGGCAGCAUAAAUUACUUGUAAUUUGAUGGCGACCGGCGAACGGGUGCGUAACGCGUAUGCAACUUACCUUUUACUAGAGAAUAGCCAAGAGAAAUUUUGAUUAAUGCUCUAUGUUCUUAUUUACUCGCAUGAGUAAAUAAGCAAAGCUCCGGCGGUAAAAGAUAGGCAUGCGUCCUAUUAGCUUGUAGGUGAGGUAAUGGCUCACCUAAGCUCCGAUAGGUAGGGGUCCUGAGAGGGAGAUCCCCCACACUGGUACUGAGACACGGACCAGACUUCUACGGAAGGCAGCAGUAAGGAAUAUUGGACAAUGGAGGCAACUCUGAUCCAGCCAUGCCGCGUGAAGGAAGACGGCCUUAUGGGUUGUAAACUUCUUUUAUACAGGAAGAAACCUUUCCACGUGGGAAAGCUGACGGUACUGUAAGAAUAAGGAUCGG
rnacentral:rRNA from 1 species